rnacentral:rRNA from 2 species
UGGGGAAUUUUGCACAAUGGGGGAAACCCUGAUGCAGCGACGCCGCGUGAUUUAGAAGGCCUUCGGGUUGUAAAAAUCUUUUCUAUGGGAAGAAAAUGACAGUACCAUAGGAAUAAGGACCGGCUAAUUACGUGCCAGCAGCCGCGGUAAUACGUAAGGUCCGAGCGCUGUCCGGAAUCAUUGGGCGUAAAGGGUACGUAGGCGGGUAAGCAAGUUAGAAGUGAAAUCCUAUAGCUCAACUAUAGUAAGCUUUUAAAACUGCUCAUCUUGAGGUAUGGAAGGGAAAGUGGAAUUCCUAGUGUAGCGGUGAAAUGCGCAGAUAUUAGGAGGAAUACCGGUGGCGAAGGCGACUUUCUGGCCAUAACCUGACGCUGAGGUACGAAAGCGUGGGUAGCAAACAGG